UCUUAAUGAAUUUAAUUUUAAGUCAAUCUGCCCAAUGAUUAAAAAUUUAAUGGCUGCAGUAUACCUAACUGUACAAAGGUAGCAUAAUCAAUUGUUUCUUAAUUAGGAACUUGUAUGAAAGAAUUAAUGAAAUAUAUACUGUCUCAUAUAAAUAUAAUGAAUUUAAAUUUUUAGUAAAAAUGCUUAAAUAAAUUUAUGGGACGAUAAGACCCUAUAGAAUUUUAUAUAUAUAUUUAAUUAAUUAUUUAUUUAAAUAUUUAUAUUUGAUUGGGAGGAUUAAUAAAUUUAAUAAACUUUAUUUUAAAUAUAUACUUUGAUUAAAGGAUAUUUUUGAUAUUGUAAUAUAAAUUUUAAGAAAAAAUUACCUUAGGGAUAACAGCGUAAUAUCUUUUUAAAGACCGAAUUGAAAAAGAUGGUUGCGACCUCGAUGUUGAAUUAAGAUAAAUUUUAAAUGUAGGUGUUUAAAAAUUAAGUCUGUUCGACUUUUAAAAUCUUACAUGAUU
rnacentral:rRNA from 1 species